rnacentral:rRNA from 1 species
AGCGCAGGUGGUUGUAUAAGUCUGAAGUAAAAGGCAGUGGCUCAACCAUUGUGUGCUUUGGAAACUGUACAACUUGAGUGCAGAAGGGGAGAGUGGAAUUCCGUGUGUAGCGGUGAAAUGCGUAGAUAUAUGGAAGAACACCAGUGGCGAAGGCGGCUGUCUGGUCUGUAACUGACGCUGAGGCUGAAAGUAUGGGUAGCAAACA